rnacentral:rRNA from 1 species
CGACAAGCGGUGGAGUAUGUGGUUUAAUUCGAUGCAGCGCGAAGAACCUUACCUGGUCUUGACAUCCCGGAGACCCUUAGGAAACUAGGGGGUGCUUCCAUCUGGAAGAAUCUGGAGACAGGUGCUGCAUGGCUGUCGUCAGCUCGUGUCGUGAGAUGUUGGGUUAAGUCCCGCAACGAGCGCAACCCUUGCCUUUAGUUGCCAGCAGUUCGGCUGGGCACUCUAAAGGGACUGCCGGUGUUAAACCGGAGGAAGGUGGGGAUGACGUCAAGUCCUCAUGGCCUUUAUGACCAGGGCUACACACGUACUACAAUGGCCGAUACAAAGGGCAGCGACACUGCGAGGUGAAGCCAAUCCCGUAAAAUCGGUCUCAGUCCGGAUUGGAGUCUGCAACUCGACUCCAUGAAGUUGGAAUCGCUAGUAAUCGUGGAUCAGCAUGCCACGGUGAAUACGUUCCCGGGCCUU